UGGGGAAUAUUGGACAAUGGGGGCAACCCUGAUCCAGCCAUGCCGCGUGUGUGAAGAAGGCCUUUUGGUUGUAAAGCACUUUAAGCAGGGAGGAGAGGCUAAUGGUUAAUACCCAUUAGAUUAGACGUUACCUGCAGAAUAAGCACCGGCUAACUCUGUGCCAGCAGCCGCGGUAAUACAGAGGGUGCGAGCGUUAAUCGGGAUUACUGGGCGUAAAGCGAGUGUAGGUGGCUCAUUAAGUCACAUGUGAAAUCCCCGGGCUUAACCUGGGAACUGCAUGUGAUACUGGUGGUGCUAGAAUAUGUGAGAGGGAAGUAGAAUUCCAGGUGUAGCGGUGAAAUGCGUAGAGAUCUGGAGGAAUACCGAUGGCGAAGGCAGCUUCCUGGCAUAAUAUUGACACUGAGAUUCGAAAGCGUGGGUAGCAAACAGGAUUAGAUACCCUGGUAGUCCACGCCGUAAAACGGUGUCUACUAGCCGUUGGGGUCCUUGAGACUUUAGUGGCGCAGUUAACGCGAUAAGUAGACCGCCUGGGGAGUACGGCCGCAAGGUUAAAACUCAAAGGAAUUGACGGGGUCAUAGCUGUUUCCU
rnacentral:rRNA from 1 species